rnacentral:rRNA from 1 species
AACCUGGUUGAUCCUGCCAGUAGUCAUAUGCUUGUCUCAAAGAUUAAGCCAUGCAUGUCUAAGUAUAAACUUUUAUACGGUUAAACUGCGAAUGGCUCAUUAUAACAGUUAUAGUUUACUUGAUA